ACAACCACUGCUCUGCUUUCUCAUCUUGCAGGUGAUGGACGGUUGAAAGGACGAAUCACCAAGAAGAGCCAAACAAUGGAGAUGCGCCGCCGCUGGAGCCUGAAGGGAAAGCAAUGAGAGCAGCCAGGAGCUGAAAGUGUGGGCAGUGGAAUGGUCUGAUGAGGACGAGUUGGACGACAGCUUCCUGAACUGAAUCCUGAUUUCCUGUAAUCAAGUUUUGUGGACUGACAUGUUGUCUGCCUGGUGCUUGGGCCAGGAGAGGAAGGCUCUGCAGCGGGUGAUCCAUCCAUCCACAAAGCAUCAGUGACAGAGGAGAGGUGAAGUGUCUGCUCAGAGCUUAAAGAAUUUCGAAAAAGACUAAAAGAACCAGAAGUAA